CACGUAGGGGCCAAGCGUUGUCCGGAUUUAUUGGGCGUAAAGAGCUCGUAGGCGGUUCGACAAGUCGGGUGUGAAAACUCCGGGCUCAACCCGGAGACGCCACCCGAUACUGUCGUGACUGGAGUCCGGUAGGGGAGUGGGGAAUUCCUGGUGUAGCGGUGAAAUGCGCAGAUAUCAGGAAGAACACCCGUGGCGAAGGCGGCUCUCUGGGACGGUACUGACGCUGAGACGCGAAAGCGUGGGGAGCGAACAGG
rnacentral:rRNA from 1 species